CCCCUUUCAAAACCCGUUAAAAAGAAUUAUAUUGAGAGUGUUGGGAAACCAACUAUGGCGAUAAACGUUGCAUGGAAUAACCGUUGCGGACCCGGGGGCGGUACCCGGCGCCUCCACCAUAAAGACAGUAGUCGCAAGACGUCGGCUGUCUUUAUGAUGGGGGCGAAAUAGGCUCGACGCGCGCAGUAAAGAUGUAAUUUUUGCCCGGCAUGAUACCACCGUAUAACGGGGUCAAAUCUAUAAAUGCUAACGAUAAUGACGAAGCAUUUGCCGUAGCUGCUUAAUUGCACUACACGGGGUUCGGAGGGGCACCUGGCAACAGAAGCCCCUUCACU
rnacentral:tmRNA from 1 species